UGCGAAGCGAAGCAGUGAUGUGAAGCAAAUCGCACCAAAGCCGGCCCCAGUUCGGAUAAGAGGCUGAAACUCGCCUCUUUGAAGUCGGAAUCGCUAGUAAUCGCAGAUCAGCAUGUUGCGGUGAAUACGUUCCCGGGUCUUGUACACACCGCCCGUCAAACCAUGAGAGUCACCAACACCCGAAGUCCGCUUUGGCGGCCUAAGGUGGGGGAGAUGAUUGGGGUUAAGUCGUAACAAGGUAGC
rnacentral:rRNA from 1 species